AGAGAACAAGCGGAGAUGAGGUCUGCAAUAUAUGUACCACGUGAUCGACUACAAAUGAAAUGAAAUUUAUAUAGUGAUAAAAUGCAUAUACACCCUCAUCUAUAAUGUUUUAUAUAUGAAGCCUGAGAACAACCUAUAUAUCUAAGCAAUGCCCUGGAAAAAAAACACAUCCAAUUGCAGACAUACAGACAUACGUUUCAAUUAAGGUUGUUUCCCAUCUCGAGCGUAGUUAAAAACCACCAACCUGUUCACUUACCCAACCAGUUUUUUGUCAUAAGGUGCCAAGAUCUACAUUCCUUCUAUCCUAGUUCAAUUGCCCUGGAUGCUUAUCGUGUUCAACAGCUCAUACUCGUGCACUUUAACUUAUUAAUAAGAUACCUAAUGAUACUCGAAAUAUGAAGAUUAUGCGCUUGAAGAUCUUUUGAUAAUGUGUUGAAUGUGAUUAUGAGCUAUUGUGGCAAGUCUACUUGUCUAAGUAGCUAUAAAUUUUCAAUUUAUAAGUUUUGUAUAUGGAAGAAUCCCCGCUCUUGAAGAAGGGAAAGAUGUCCUUGGGAUAUGUAAUUAUUUAAAACAAUAAGAGAAUGCUUAGGUCAUAGAAUUUUCUAUAACAAAUACAUACAAUUUGCACGGCAUUAGUCUAGGAGCCAUCGAGCACGAGUGGGUAGCACAUUGCUCACGAACAUUUAAUGAGAUGUUUGGUGGUCGACCCGCUAAAUAAUGACUGGUACUUCAGGCCACCCAUCGAGAUGGUGUAAAAUAUCCAUUAAGAAUAAUGGGAAACACGGUCUUUGGGAAGUAAGUUUCAAGUAAA